rnacentral:rRNA from 1 species
AACGAACGCUGGCGGCAGGCUUAACACAUGCAAGUCGAGCGCCCCGCAAGGGGAGCGGCAGACGGGUGAGUAACGCGUGGGAAUCUACCCAACCCUACGGAAUAACGCAUGGAAACGCGUGCUAAUACCGUAUACGCCCUACGGGGGAAAGAUUUAUCGGGGAUGGAUGAGCCCGCGUUGGAUUAGCUAGUUGGUGGGGUAAAGGCCUACCAAGGCGACGAUCCAUAGCUGGUCUGAGAGGAUGAUCAGCCACAUUGGGACUGAGACACGGCCCAAACUCCUACGGGAGGCAGCAGUGGGGAAUAUUGGACAAUGGGCGCAAGCCUGAUCCAGCCAGGCCGCGUGAGUGAUGAAGGCCCUAGGGUUGUAAAGCUCUUUCACCGAUGAAGAUAAUGACGGUAGUCGGAGAAGAAGCCCCGGCUAACUUCGUGCCAGCCGCCGCAGUAAAAC